CCUACAAGAUUAUUGUCUAUACAUAAACGUGACUUUACUAUGUGGCUAUCUUCAUUACAUGGUUUUAUUUUUCAGGAAACUUGCCCAGGAUGUUAAAGUUGCAAAUAGGUUUAUUGUUCAUUUUAUGAACUCCCAGAAAAUCUAUUCAAAAAAAUACUCCAUUUACCCUCAUCAGAGUAAAUCCUCUUUCUCAGGAUAAUAUGGCAACAAAGGAGGGCUAGCUCUUCAAGAUUCUCUUAGAAACCAUAUCCAUGCUGUGUUCACUAAUCCGCUUAUAUCAUGAACCUUCUGCAGUCCUGAUCAAGCCCCCAAUUUAACAAGAUCUCCCAAGUCUGCUGAAUUUCUGCUUUGUCUUCCCCAUUCCCAGAUGCUACUAAGACUGUCAAAGUAACCAUCUCCCUCAUCAUGAUAAGCAAUAAACUCAGCUAUGCUUUGUCAAAAGAAUAUUUUUGGCGAUCAGCAUUUGACAAUCUAAUCACAGAAUUCUCUUUUCACAUAAACCUAUUUACAUCUAAAGGAACCAUUGUUUCAAGGAAUAUGCUUGAGGGCACAUAGGCUUACAAGAUUCUGCAGGAGAAUUCAGUGCCCAAGAAGCCCCUGGAUCCAAGCUAUCAAAGAUCACCUUGUCUUCAAAUUACAUGAUAUUUCUUCAGGAAAUUUCUGUCAGCAUGUUUGUAUACACUAAGAGAGGUUAGUCCUUCCUCCGUAUGUUUAAUACCAGGGUACAGUUUUCUUUUUAGUCUUCACUGAGAUGAAAUUGUUUUUCUUCCUUCUGUGUGCUCCCAUAUGUAGGGUAAAUCUCAAAAGAUUAUGUCCAGAAUUGAAUUGGAAGAGAACAAGUGAGAUAAAGAUCUCUGAAAGGUCCUUCAAUUGGAACUUUAAAAUAUCCGUUAACAAAUGUGGUAAAAUACGCUGCAUCUCAGUGCAGGUAACCGUUGGUCCCAUUGCUGGCUUGGACUUCCAGGAAAGUGACAACAAUUCUAGACAUCUCCCAUUAAUCUACCAGUAAUCCAUUGUGCAGGCUUUACACAGGUGGGUAGAUCUGGGAGAAUGUAGAUGAUACAGGGCAUAUCCUCUGUCUCAUAUCCCCAUUUCCCCAGGUAAGCUUACCUGUCAUCUGGUGCUUUGUCACCUGCUCAUGUCCUCCUCUCCUCUCUGCUGUGCCCUCCUCUGCUCCCUCACCGCCAGCCUCCUCACGAGAUGGGAUGGGCAGAAAGCAGGGUCUGAUUCACAUUAUUGUGUGAUUUUAUUGAAUCUUGUUUGUAAAAUUUAAAAAUUAAAACAAAAAUUAUACAUCUGUAACUACCUGAACCUCGGUUUUCUCAUUUGAACAAUGGAGAUUUUUGGAACUGCUCAAUAUUUCAAAGGUUGUUUUGUGAUCAGGAUAUAGAAGUACUAAGAAUAUAAAGCUUUACAUAAAUGUAAACCACUAUUGGUAUGCAAAGGUGGUGAUAAGUGUAGGUGCUACUUCACGUUGCAGUAGAAGUAAUAGAAGUGGUUUAUUAUCUUGGCCACUCUAAAUAUUUUCACUAUAUUAAUAUAGCUUUCAGCAAAAUCUUAGUUUAAGAUAACUACUGUCAUUUUUGUCAACGAGCUGAGCUUUAGUUUUGAAUUUAAUUCAUUCAGACUAGAAAACCACAGCAGUGAUCAAAGGCAUAAUUAUAACAUAUUUAUAGCCUAUUAUUAUUGUAACAUUCUGAAGUAAAGGGCAAAAAUUCCACCCAGUGAACUUGUUCUUCCUGUUACUGACACAAGAUUGAGACAUUUAAAUGCUAAGACAUGGAUCCCCGAGGCAGAACAUAAAAUAUUUAUAAUGAAGGGAGUAUGGACCAAUAAAUUUCAGUUAUGAAUGUUUUUAGCUGGAAGAAAUAAUAAAUAACCUUCCACAGGCAAUAUUUCAGUUUGCAUUUAUUGUACCUCAUCGCAUCAGAUUUUCAGGAAACAAUAAUGAUUGCAUGGUAGCAUACUAAAUUACUCUCAUGUUUAAUGAACGAUUAGACUGUUAAGCUUUGAUUAAGAUAUAAAGGCCUCCCUAAUUUCACUGCGAGAUGUGGUUUGCUUGGAAAGGUAUAGUUUGUGAUAGUACUAGUAAAAAGAUUGUAAUUUAUAUAAUUUCUAUUGAGAAAAAGAAUAGUUUCAGAUAUAGAUAAGCUUUGAAAAAGCAAUACCAGACUCAGAUUUGAGGAAGGAGGGCCGGAGUAGCAUUUAAAUAAUAGGGAGAUGAAUUAUAUACUUGGGCUGUCUUAUCUCUAAUCCAUUUAAACAGUUUUAAAAAUUGGUAUGCAAAUGGCUUAAAUUUUAUCUGAUUAUGCAUAGACAAUGCUAGGAGAUAUUAUGGUACCUAGAAAAUAAUGCAGGAUUGGGCAUCAAAGGGUUUAAAUCAGAGUUCUGACUUUGUAGUUUAGUAGCUGUGUGACCCUGGGCAAGUCUUUUAUCUUCUCCAACUCUCCUGUUUCUUUAUUUGCAAAGUCAUAUGUGGCAUGGUUAUUGUAAAGAUGAAAUGAGAUAACUUAUAUAUCUUAACAUGGGCUCUCCAGAAAGCAGAGUCUGAGUGCAAGUUUUUUCUUAGCAUUUGUGAUCCUGGGAACCGUAAGGAGUAGGGUACAGAGGAACCAGGCAAAGACGGAGGGAGAGUCGACACCAGGAUGAGUUGUUAGUGGGCCACUGCUGUAAGUGCCUAUGCUUGAUAGCCACGUGCGUACUAUUUAAAAGCCUUCUCAAGAAGUGUGAAUCAGGACCGUUUGUCUAGGGGGAGAAUGAAAAAGAAUUUAUUAUUCAUCAGUUUCCUUCCACCAUUGGUCACUCAUAGGGUAUAUUUAUAGACUGACUUGUGUUCCCCCAAAAUGUAUGUGUUGAAGCCCUAACCCCCAGUGCCUCCUAAAAUAACUCUAUUUGGAGAUAGGACCUUUAAAGAGGUGAUUAAGUUAAAAUGAGGCCCUUAAGGUGGGCCCUACUCCAAUCUGACUGGGCUCCCUAUAAGAAGAAGAAACUUGGACAGAGAGACACCAGGGGUGAGUGUGCACAGAGGAAAGACCAUUUGAGGACACAGUGAGAAGGUGGCAAGCCAAGGAGGGAGGCCUCAGGAGAAACCAAAUCUGCCAACACCUUGAUCUCAGACUUCUAGCCUCCAUAAGUGUGAAAAAGUAAAUUUCCGUUCUUUAAACGACCAAAUCUAUGGUAUUUUGUUAUGGCAACCCCAGGGAGCUACCCCACACUCUAGAUUGUAUAUAUAUGAGAGGAGAAUAGUUUCCCUCCCUGUCCCCGACUUAAGGUGUCAACAGAAAAGCCCCAAUUGGGAAGCCAGAGAUGGGAUCCUUAGGGCAAAGUGCUGCCCAGCUGCAUGUAUGGGAUGCCGACCAGACCCCUCACAGACCAGAUGGUCACUUUGGUGCCUAGAAUAGGCUACGUGAGACCAAGAGAACACAAGGAGAUGCAUGGGAGGUAUCAACACCGUAUGCAAAAGCAUUUUAAAGCUACAAGGUUGUUAUUAAUAAUAAGCAAAGAUAAAACUGCUUAUCGCUACUUCAUGGACUUAUUAGGAUUCAUUAGGAAUGUAUAUGGUUUAUGAACUCAUAAUUACAUUACUGAAUUUUGUUUUAAAUCAUGUUUGUGCAGAACUCUUCUGAGAUCAAAGGGAAAUAGCCACGUGUCCUCUAGACAGCAAGCAAAAUUUAGAAUCUUUUAAAAAGAGCCAAUAAGCUAUAUACUUGAAAAAACAGUAUUAAGUAAAAUCUGGCAUUGAUUUCAUUCCUUUUGUCUGUGUGCCUGUUUCCUCUGCAAUCUGUAGCACCAAGAUUAGCCUUUAAAUUCCAUGUACCAUGGUCUAUUGCAAAGAAUCUUGAACUGGACACACUAGAGAGAUGAGUGAUUUUCUUGGUCACACAAGGCGUGCAUAUGGUUAUAAGUUUGGUUACAUUAGACCACGAAAGCUUUCUGUUAUAUUUGUGGAGAUGUCGGGAAGUAUCUCCACAUUUCAGGGGCAGUUAAAGGGUUUGCGGAUUGGUGAAGUGAGGAGUGAGGGGAAAUGUGGUUUCUGUGGCUGAAGAAAUGGAGUCAGGAGUCCUGAGAGCUCUGACUUGUAUGCAUGUGGGGCACCUAGGAAUAUACUUACAUAGAAACCAGCGACUGAAACUUACCAGUUUCCAAUUUUCCAUUUUAGCAAAUCUGACAUCUGGCAAUCUUCAUGUAUCCAUUCUGUUCGAAGAGGAAAACAGUUUGAAAUCCAUCCUCAAAGAUGGCAUUGGGUAGGAAGUCAAACUAGUAUUCAUAACAAAUAUUAUCAAAAUGUUGCUUGCUGAGGAGGCUGAUAAAUGUUGGUAAGAAGAAAUGUGAACACUAAAAUUGUAGGCUUUGCAUAAGUCAUCAUUUAAUAACUACCUUAUCUACCUAAUAACUACCUUAUUUACCUAGUAGCUGAGAAGGGGAAAACAAGAGGAGACAGAUGCGCUUGCUCACCCACUGUUCAGCUUUGUGUUCAUCUCUGGCUGAAUGCCAUUUCCAGGUGUUCAGUGUUGAGCCAAACGCUAAAAUUAGACAUUUGGUACAGCCUUUGUUGAGACACAGGGUGACGUAGGAAAUCUUGUUCAAUCCUUGGCUCUUGACACAGCUAUUAGGACCUCUCUUUCUCGGGCUGUCAAAUUUACCCAGCAAUUUAAAGGAAAAUGAAAUAAAUAAGAUAGAAAUGUGAUCAGGGAAAAAUAUUGGACCCCAGAUGUUGUAGCAAAGUGUCCCUUAAACCGCACUUCUUUACUUAAAUUUUUUUUCUUUUCUAUUUCUUUGGGAAAACAUGGAAUUUGAGUGGUGCUUUUAUCCUUUUUAGGGUUUGGUCCAAAUCUUAUUAUAAAAGUGAUCAUAGAUAUAUAACAUUGUAAAGACAAAGAUCUGGAAAAAUAAACUAGAAUUUCAGACAUCAAAAAAAAAAAAAAAAAGGAGUAUGCCCAUGUUCCUGAGAUUAUAGAACCUAAUCCUCAAGUUUGCAGAUCAGGAAACGCUAUGUUGGUGGUACCCACACAAGGUGCUGCAGAGUGAGGCUGCUCACCACUCCACAAUACAACAAUGCCUGAUGUAAUUUAUAGUGAACCUGGCUUAAUUUAUCACUUAGAUUGACAGGUCAGCUUGAUUUACUAUCCAAAUAUUAGAGGAUAAAAUGAUCUUAGCAAGUGCUUAUUGUCUGGGUGAGCAUACUUCAUUGCUUUGAAUAUUUGUGCCGUGUAUUGGGGAAAAAUAAAGAAAAGUAGAGAGAUUUGUUGGAUAAAUGUGAAGAAAAGUAAUAAUAGUUCAAAAGUAAGGGGUCAGAGGAUUUCUAAUCAUGGCCCCAUGAUUAGAUUUCAGUUUUGUGAUUAGGAAGCAGAGAAUACAGACUCCUGUCAAUCAGAUAAGUUAGACCCUACUGGCUGGCAUUUCUCCACCAUUAUAGAGACCCUGGGGACAGACCUGACAUGGUUUUCAACUCUCUCUCUCUCUAUCGAAAAGCCGUAAGGGCUCAGCAGUAACCACUGGGUGAUUAGGAAGGGUCAGAGAAGUGUUUGACUUGGUGUAAUUUUUUGUGUGUCUGAGCCUGAGUCUGGACACUGCUUUCUCCUCACUCUCUCCAAACCCCAAAGGUAAGAAGUGCCUAGUGCUUAUGGUUGAGGGGAAGAAGAAAGGUAAAGGAAGAUUUGCAUGUGUGAUAUCGUGAUCUCUGUACAACAAUUAACGAGGCUCUGCUUUACCAUCCCAAAUAUCAACUGUACUUAACUUUGCUUUCACACUUUAGGAAGGAAAGUUGAAACCAGUACAAGGACGGAGAGAGAUAAAUCUUUUUCUUGCCUCAGUCCUAAAUUGGAACCAGAGCACCCCCAUUUCCAGGCUUGGGAUUUGUGGAAAGCAGGAAUUAGCAAUCCUGAAGUUUUCCUCGAGAGCAAGAACAUCAAGCAAAGGGAGGUAGUAGCCUUGAGGAAUGUUUCCUCCCAGCCAUGGUGAGGCCUGAUAUGAUGCCCCUGACGCCAUAUCCCAGCCCUGCCACCCUCCAUGACUCUUACCUUUCUUGAUUACCAUCUUACUCCCUUUCAAUCACACCGUCCUUUCUCUCCAUACAGUCAACCCUCCUCCCCAGCUUUGUUAAAAUAAUUGAUUGACUCAGGUCAAGCCCUUUCUUUUGGUUUUUGGCUUAGGCAACAUUGGAUCUUUUAUCCUUAUACAGAGAAUCGAAAGAAGUUUGGGAUGAUUGUUAAACAGUAUGUUGGUCACAUUUUCAAAUAACAGGUUCAAUAUGUUUUUCUCCAACCUUCAGACACAUUUUCAGGUGAAAUAUUUUGAAAUUUAAAACAAUGGGUCCAAGUGUUAAUCUGAAAGAAAAAAACAAAAGAAACAAACAGAAAACCCAAAACCAAUAAGUAUACUACUUUCCCUGUGUUUCCAGACUUUUUUGGACAAUUUGGUGUAUAUUCAUUUUACUUUUUCAGAUUAAAAGUUAAACCAUUGCUUGAAAUUUAGAGCUAUUACAUGACAAAAUAUUCUGAGCAUAUGUUUUGAAGAUGUAGUGUAUAAUUUAAAAAUAGCUUUACCUAUGUUUCCUAACUUUUCAGAUAUCCUGUGAUUCUUUGAGACAAACACUCAGGGCCCUACUGCUUACAGCUUCAAGCAUAACGGAGUCUAAUAGUGUUUAUUGUCACUUAAUACUGGCUACUGAUUGCUUUAUCAGUAAGGCUUUGUCUUUUUUAUUUUUUCCAUAUCACUUUGUCUGAUUUUUUUUAAAAGAUGAAUUUUGUGGUUCCAUUCUCAGCAUAAAUAAUGAAUGCUUGCAAAGAACCCCAGAUGUUCUGCCCUUGACUUUGUGGAGUUUGUACCAGAACAGUUAUUGCAACACCUACAGCAGCAGGAACUUUUUGCUUGAGGUUUGAACUCUGGAAACAUGUCCACUGCGCCUCGCUUAGCAAAGCUGUUGUCAGCCUUCUGUGCAACUCGCGUUUAUAGUAAAUAAAGAACAAGGAUGCCACAAAUAAAAGUGAUGCCUCACAAAGUAAGAAUAUAGCCAGUAUUACUCAAAAUAUCUUCUAGGUACAGGGAAAAACCUUCUUAUGACAGGAGAAAUAUGAGUGGGGAAAUAGAUGGUGUGUGGACUGAGAGCUUCUCCAUGAGCAUUUUAACACGUCAGCCGAAUACAUGCUUGCAGCUUCUCUCAAGUGUGUUGUUAACUCAACCAGUGUCUGGAUGGAUCUGCAGGCCACUGGGACAAGUCCUGGAGCUUCUGUGACUUGUGUUGGGCCAACACGUGGUGAAAAGCAAUGGCAGUCUCUGUCUGGGAACCAUGGUCAGCCAGUGUCUAGAAGCUGGUGAGCUGCUUCUGUUUGAAAUCUGCUUUCUAAAUGUGCUUAGACCAGUGAAGCUUACCUCCUGAAACCUGAAUCCGGGGUCUGACAAGUCCCAACACACUGUAGCUCCUGAUACCCGCAAAGUCUGUACUCAGUCUAACGUAUUGAUUCUCUGAACUUGUUGCCUGAGGGAGAGGCAGAGCUAAUUAAAAGAAACUGGAGCUUUGAAAAUCUCUGAGAAUCUCUCUGAGAUGCUGCCACUAACCUCGGGAAUUUUAAUCAUUGCCCAGCACAGGAGCUGACAACAAAUCUUUCUCCAUGCUGCUGAACUAAGAGUGAGAUGCCUUUAAAACGGGAAAAGAGAAAUCAUAAACUUCCCUGCUUGCAUCUUAAUUUCUCCCUAAGACUUUGAAUAAAGUAAAAGAAAUUUGAGGGUCAAAAAAAAUGUAUGUGUGCCUGUCUAUAGGCAUGCAUAUUUGGGAUAAUCAUACUAAGUAUUUCUAGGGUCUUUAUAAAUAUCAGUUAAUUAAAAAGAAUUCUCUCUGUGCAAUAAGGGCAAUUUCUUCCAUUUUAUUGGAAGGAAAAAUGAGACAGAGAGAAGUUAGGUAAUUUUUCUUGAGUAAUCUGAGUCAGCCAGAAAGACAGUUGGAUGAGAUUAGGACUCAGAGUUGCUGACACUCAAAGACAUGUGGAAACCACUAGACCACAUCGUUAUCUUUCUUUCUUGAACCAACUAUAACAAAAUAGCCCUUAUGUGCUUGCAAAAUCCUUGCCUUUGUUCUAAAGCAGUUUCAAUGUAGAUAGAACAGAACAAAUCAUGAAAUUUCACUAAAUACUAGCCAUGGUGGCUCACCCCUUCCUCUUAACACGCCAUGACCAUUGGAAGGUGGGAAAGAGAUCUAAAGUAAUAUCAAAACCCUAAUAUUUCUUUGGUUGCACUUAUGGCCACAUUCAGAUUGUAUCACUUCCAAAAAGCUGCAAAGGCAUUUUGCCAUGAUGGCUCCUUCUUCCCAGGCGAGGGCCAGAAAGAUGAGAAGAGAUCACAAGGCUAUCAUUAGAUGAAAACAAUAGACUGAGACUCAUCGUCCAAGAGUCCUAAAGCUUUUUCCACAUCAGAUAGUUUGCUCGUACACAUGGGUAUUCAUCCUUCCACAUUCUGAAUAAAAUUACAGGCAAAAAGAAUUGGAAGACAGGUAUUUAUUCCUGAAUAUCAAAUUAGGCCUUUUCUGAUGACCCAGAAUGAUUCACAAAUGAGAGUCAAAACUAUAAACCCAGGGUACAUGUCCUAGCAGCAUAGGGUAAGCUAGUUAAAGUUGUAAAGCCUGAAUCAAACCAGGUUCAGACUCUUGCAGUUUCACUUUCUCCAGAGCUGGAAAGGUGAGAAGGGUAAGCUACUAUUCCAGAUACAUCGGAAAACCAGAAUGAGCUGGAGGAAAUAGGACUUUCACAUAAGUUGUACCAAUUAUCUAUGGCUUUAUACAAACCACUCAAAAAUUUGGUGGCUUUGUUAAAGCUGAUUUAUUACUUCUCGUGAUUCCAUGGCUAGGCAAGGUGGUUCCUCACUGCUCCGCCUUGAGUCAUUCAGGUGGCUGCCUUGUGCUAGAGGUCAGCUGGAAUGUCAAAGAUGGCAGUUGCUGCUUGCUGUCAGUUAGGUCACUCAGGUCACCAUGUGACCUUUACUUCUUCAGUAGGCUAGACUGGCUUUCUUACCUGGAAGUGUCAGGGCAGUAUUCCAAGAUCACAAAGGCAGAAGCUGCAAGACCUCUUAAGGUCUGGACACCUGAACUCACACAUCACUUCUGCUACGUUCUAAGUCACAAGGCCAGCCCAUCUGCAAAGGAGCAGAAAAAUAAACUCCACCUCUGGAAGGGAGAAGCAGCAAAAUCAUAUUGCAAAGAGGCAUGCUUCCUGGGAUGGGAGGAAUUUGAGGUCAUUAACCAUCUACCACACAAGAUGUACAAAGGAAAUGAGGCGGUGAAGGAAAGAGUUCUGCAUGCUGUGUUAUUUUCUGAGAAGACAGAGAUUGUGGAGAAAGGAAUCACAAUUUAGCCAGUGUACUAGCGAACACUGAAGCAGGGCGUCAGGCUGCAGGUCCUUCAGUGGCACCUCCUCCCCCAUGCAUCAAAUUUUCUGUGCCCAUCACGCAGCUGAUGUGUGGACAACAGUCCCCCUGGGCAGUCAAUUGGAAGCCAAAGGUAGGGAGACUUUCUGCUUCUUUUUCCCCUGACUUUGACUUCUGUUGAAGACCUGGGACUUCCAUGCCAGGAGACUUUGGGAGACAGUAUUUGACUCACCCUUAAGUCUAUUUCCUAGCCACCUCCCCUGGCUGUGGAGUUUUUCCAUGCCAUCUCCUUGGGGCAUUUUGCACCUUGGGGAAACCAUUUGUGUUUCCUCAUCACUUUAUUGUAGAAAUAGGCACUUUCACAGACUUUACUAUUAAUCAGAACCUUCCUUUAUUUCUGCAUCCCCUUCAAGAUUAUUUUCAUUUGUCUAAGACUGACUCUCCUGCCACUGUUGUCAUUUAACUGUCAAAUGAUGAGACAUAUGACAUCAAAAGUAUAACCUACAUCUAGGCCGUUAGACACAGAACUUGUCCUUUGAUGUAAAAGUUUAAUUAGCUCAAAAUAUUGA